CGCGAGACGGCCCCGCCCCCUCGAGAUCCUUCAGUGGAUGACAGGCGACUGCUGCUGUUGUGGGCUAAGAAUCCAGGAGCCUCAGAUAGUCUGUGCCUCCGAAUGCACUGAGGGACCAUCCUCCAUUCUGGACCUGCUCACCACUUACAAGUCAAGCCUCAGUCGAGGCACAUCACUCCUCCUGGUUGCCCUAACUCCUGUGUAGAGCACCACUUCCAGAGACAAGAAGAGGCUAAGCCUACAACCUCCUUUGUGGCAUCUUUAUUUUUCUGAUACAUGAACAAGGUGAACACGGUCAGAAAAAUCAGCUGCACUGAAACACUUCAGCCAGUCGUAAAACAGGGCACACAGACAUGGAGGGGUGAUGAUAGCAAUCCCAGACCAGCUUCCCCCAAAGGGCUUGUACUCCAAGCCUACAGCCAGAGGUGCUCUGGGAAGGACUGUGCAGUACAUCUCUGGUGAAGAGGG